UCGCCUGUUUUACAAAAACAUCGCCUCUUGCAAAACCAAAGAAUAAGAGGUCCCGCCUGCCCACUGAUCCAAGAUUCAACGGCCGCGGUAUUUUGACCGUGCUAAGGUAGCGUAAUCACUUGUCUUUUAAAUGAAGACCCGUAUGAAAGGCUUAACGAGGGCUUAACUGUCUCUUCUUUCUAGUCAAUGAAACUGAUCUCCCCGUGCAGAUGCGGGGAUAAAAACAUAAGACGAGAAGACCCUAUGGAGCUUUAGACACUAAAGCAGACUAUUUUUAAUAACCCUAACCAAGCAAUAAAUCUAAUAAAAACCUGCUACUGUCUUAGGUUGGGGCGACCCUGGGGAAACACAAAACCCCCAUGUGGAAGGGGGAACCUACUCUUCUACCCCUAAAAACCCGAAAUACAAUUCUAAUUAACAGAAUAUCUGACCAACUGAUCCGGCCUUGGGCCGAUUAACGAAACAAGUUACCCUAGGGAUAACAGCGCUAUCCCCUUUUAAAGUCCAUAUAGACAAGGGGGCUUACGACCUCGAUGUUGGAUCAGGACAUCCUAAUGGUGCAGCCGCUAUUAAGGGUUCGUUUGUUCAACGAUUAAAGUCCUACGUGAUCUGAGUUCAGACCGGA
rnacentral:rRNA from 1 species